UUGUAGAGAAAGGCGAAGAAAGCUCGAGCUGGUUUGAACCGAUUAACCAUGUGGUUAAAAACGAAAGAGCCACGUUGUACUGAUAAAGCAGAUGCUACUAAUUACAAGAAACUUGCCUCGGGAGUAAGAAAAGUGUUUAGUACCAGUCACGGUGGAUUGCGCUGAAUGGAUGAGGCGUCCCGUCGGUUUAAAUUGGAGUUCAAGAGUCGGGAAAUGUAAGGAAAAAUCCUGUGAAGAUUCAAAGGCUCGGCUCUGCAGACUUGAACUGGAACGUCUUCGUCUCUAAAGGCAGAAGAUCGAAGAAGUAACUGUGGGAUGGGACGUUUUUAGUUCAACAAGUGUCCUGUUAUAGCCUCGGUUAAAGAGUUUCAAUGCUGGUAAGCAUGAAGAGACUUUACUCAUGUUUUAAAAAGACAGAAUAAGAAGUUAAUAUUUUUGAAAUAGCUUAUACUAUUAAAAAUACCAUAGCUUACAAGUUAUGAUAUUGGAAAUGUACUAGAGCAGUGGUCCCCAACCCCCGGGCCGCGCAAGAAAUAAUUAAAUAUUUCCGUUUUAUGUAUUGUUUGAGUCUG